GGUUAAGCGACUAAGCGUACACGGUGGAUGCCCUGGCAGUCAGAGGCGAUGAAGGACGUGCUAAUCUGCGAUAAGCGUCGGUAAGGUGAUAUGAACCGUUAUAACCGGCGAUUUCCGAAUGGGGAAACCCAGUGUGUUUCGACACACUAUCAUUAACUGAAUCCAUAGGUUAAUGAGGCGAACCGGGGGAACUGAAACAUCUAAGUACCCCGAGGAAAAGAAAUCAACCGAGAUUCCCCCAGUAGCGGCGAGCGAACGGGGAGCAGCCCAGAGCCUGAAUCAGUGUGUGUGUUAGUGGAAGCGUCUGGAAAGGCGCGCGAUACAGGGUGACAGCCCCGUACACAAAAAUGCACAUGCUGUGAGCUCGAUGAGUAGGGCGGGACACGUGGUAUCCUGUCUGAAUAUGGGGGGACCAUCCUCCAAGGCUAAAUACUCCUGACUGACCGAUAGUGAACCAGUACCGUGAGGGAAAGGCGAAAAGAACCCCGGCGAGGGGAGUGAAAAAGAACCUGAAACCGUGUACGUACAAGCAGUGGGAGCACGCUUAGGCGUGUGACUGCGUACCUUUUGUAUAAUGGGUCAGCGACUUAUAUUCUGUAGCAAGGUUAACCGAAUAGGGGAGCCGAAGGGAAACCGAGUCUUAACUGGGCGUUAAGUUGCAGGGUAUAGACCCGAAACCCGGUGAUCUAGCCAUGGGCAGGUUGAAGGUUGGGUAACACUAACUGGAGGACCGAACCGACUAAUGUUGAAAAAUUAGCGGAUGACUUGUGGCUGGGGGUGAAAGGCCAAUCAAACCGGGAGAUAGCUGGUUCUCCCCGAAAGCUAUUUAGGUAGCGCCUCGUGAAUUCAUCUCCGGGGGUAGAGCACUGUUUCGGCAAGGGGGUCAUCCCGACUUACCAACCCGAUGCAAACUGCGAAUACCGGAGAAUGUUAUCACGGGAGACACACGGCGGGUGCUAACGUCCGUCGUGAAGAGGGAAACAACCCAGACCGCCAGCUAAGGUCCCAAAGUCAUGGUUAAGUGGGAAACGAUGUGGGAAGGCCCAGACAGCCAGGAUGUUGGCUUAGAAGCAGCCAUCAUUUAAAGAAAGCGUAAUAGCUCACUGGUCGAGUCGGCCUGCGCGGAAGAUGUAACGGGGCUAAACCAUGCACCGAAGCUGCGGCAGCGACGCUGAUGCGUUGUUGGGUAGGGGAGCGUUCUGUAAGCCUGCGAAGGUGUGCUGUGAGGCAUGCUGGAGGUAUCAGAAGUGCGAAUGCUGACAUAAGUAACGAUAAAGCGGGUGAAAAGCCCGCUCGCCGGAAGACCAAGGGUUCCUGUCCAACGUUAAUCGGGGCAGGGUGAGUCGACCCCUAAGGCGAGGCCGAAAGGCGUAGUCGAUGGGAAACAGGUUAAUAUUCCUGUACUUGGUGUUACUGCGAAGGGGGGACGGAGAAGGCUAUGUUGGCCGGGCGACGGUUGUCCCGGUUUAAGCGUGUAGGCUGGUUUUCCAGGCAAAUCCGGAAAAUCAAGGCUGAGGCGUGAUGACGAGGCACUACGGUGCUGAAGCAACAAAUGCCCUGCUUCCAGGAAAAGCCUCUAAGCAUCAGGUAACAUCAAAUCGUACCCCAAACCGACACAGGUGGUCAGGUAGAGAAUACCAAGGCGCUUGAGAGAACUCGGGUGAAGGAACUAGGCAAAAUGGUGCCGUAACUUCGGGAGAAGGCACGCUGAUAUGUAGGUGAAGUCCCUCGCGGAUGGAGCUGAAAUCAGUCGAAGAUACCAGCUGGCUGCAACUGUUUAUUAAAAACACAGCACUGUGCAAACACGAAAGUGGACGUAUACGGUGUGACGCCUGCCCGGUGCCGGAAGGUUAAUUGAUGGGGUUAGCCGCAAGGCGAAGCUCUUGAUCGAAGCCCCGGUAAACGGCGGCCGUAACUAUAACGGUCCUAAGGUAGCGAAAUUCCUUGUCGGGUAAGUUCCGACCUGCACGAAUGGCGUAAUGAUGGCCAGGCUGUCUCCACCCGAGACUCAGUGAAAUUGAACUCGCUGUGAAGAUGCAGUGUACCCGCGGCAAGACGGAAAGACCCCGUGAACCUUUACUAUAGCUUGACACUGAACAUUGAGCCUUGAUGUGUAGGAUAGGUGGGAGGCUUGGAAGUGUGGACGCCAGUCUGCAUGGAGCCGACCUUGAAAUACCACCCUUUAAUGUUUGAUGUUCUAACGUUGACCCGUAAUCCGGGUUGCGGACAGUGUCUGGUGGGUAGUUUGACUGGGGCGGUCUCCUCCUAAAGAGUAACGGAGGAGCACGAAGGUUGGCUAAUCCUGGUCGGACAUCAGGAGGUUAGUGCAAUGGCAUAAGCCAGCUUGACUGCGAGCGUGACGGCGCGAGCAGGUGCGAAAGCAGGUCAUAGUGAUCCGGUGGUUCUGAAUGGAAGGGCCAUCGCUCAACGGAUAAAAGGUACUCCGGGGAUAACAGGCUGAUACCGCCCAAGAGUUCAUAUCGACGGCGGUGUUUGGCACCUCGAUGUCGGCUCAUCACAUCCUGGGGCUGAAGUAGGUCCCAAGGGUAUGGCUGUUCGCCAUUUAAAGUGGUACGCGAGCUGGGUUUAGAACGUCGUGAGACAGUUCGGUCCCUAUCUGCCGUGGGCGCUGGAGAACUGAGGGGGGCUGCUCCUAGUACGAGAGGACCGGAGUGGACGCAUCACUGGUGUUCGGGUUGUCAUGCCAAUGGCACUGCCCGGUAGCUAAAUGCGGAAGAGAUAAGUGCUGAAAGCAUCUAAGCACGAAACUUGCCCCGAGAUGAGUUCUCCCUGACUCCUUGAGAGUCCUGAAGGAACGUUGAAGACGACGACGUUGAUAGGCCGGGUGUGUAAGCGCAGCGAUGCGUUGAGCUAACCGGUACUAAUGAACCGUGAGGCUUAACCUU
rnacentral:rRNA from 1 species